UGAGGAAUAUUGGGCAAUGCCCGCAAGGGUGACCCAGCAACGCCGCGUGGAGGAUGAAUGUCGUAAGAUUGUAAACUCCUGUUAGAGGGGAAGAAUAGUACCGGUUGGACCGGUAUAUGACUGUACCCUCAGAGAAAGCCCCGGCUAACUACGUGCCAGCAGCCGCGGUAAUACGUAGGGGGCAAGCGUUGUCCGGAUUUACUGGGUGUAAAGGGCGCGCAGGCGGGAUAAAAAGUCAGUGGUGAAAUCCUACAGCUUAACUGUAGAACUGCCUUUGAUACUUUUAUUCUUGAGUUCGGGAGAGAGAGACGGAAUUCCAGGUGUAGUGGUGAAAUACGUAGAUAUCUGGAAGAACACCAGUUGCGAAGGCGGUCUCUUGGUCCGACACUGACGCUGAGGCGCGAAAGCGUGGGUAGCAAACA
rnacentral:rRNA from 1 species